UCCACUGGUACACGGGCGAGGGCAUGGAUG
rnacentral:piRNA from 1 species